CACCAAAUAUAAUUUAUGCAGACUUCGAACAAGCUAUACACUCAGCUGUUUCAAAUAUUUUUCCUGAAGUUACAUGCAAAGGCUGUAGAUUUCAUCUAACAAUCAAUCUGGAGAAAAAUUCAAAAUGUUGGUCUGUCUACAGCUUUCAAAAAUAAAUCUGAAUUGGAAAACUUUUCAUUUAUUUUUUGGUCUUUCAUUUUUAAAACUGAUGAGAUUAGUAACUGUUUUUAUG